rnacentral:rRNA from 1 species
AACGGAGGACCCAAGCGUUAUCCGGAAUUACUGGGCGUAAAGAGUUGCGUAGGUGGCAAGAUAAGCGAAGUGUGAAAUCUCGUGGCUCAACCAUGAGGCUAUGCUUUGAACUGUCUAGCUUAGAGUAUGGGAGAGGUAGAUGGAAUUCUCAGUGUAGGGGUAAAAUCCGUAGAUAUUGGGAGGAACACCGAUGGCGUAGGCAGUCUACUAGCCCAUUACUGACACUAGGGCACGAAAGCGUGGGGAGCGAACAGG